UACGGGGGGAGCAAGCGUUGUUCGGAUUUACUGGGCGUAAAGGGCGCGUAGGCGGCCAGCACAAGUCAGUUGUGAAAUCUCCGAGCUUAACUCGGAAAGGUCAACUGAUACUGUGCGGCUAGAGUGCGGAAGGGGCAACUGGAAUUCUUGGUGUAGCGGUGAAAUGCGUAGAGAUGUGGAGGAACACCGAUGGCGAAGGCAGCCUCCUGGGCCAGCACUGACGCUCAUGCACGAAAGCGUGGGGAGCAAACAGG
rnacentral:rRNA from 1 species